AUGUCGGCAGUCGCGGCGCACCGAGCCUCUCCGGCCAUGUGGUCCCCGCAGCCUCCGCCGCCCCGCCUCCAGCUCCGGCGGCCUGCGCCGAUUCCCCAUCACUCCUCGCGGCGCGGCCGCGGCCUCAGCCGCAUCGCCGCAUCGCAGGAGGACCCGCUGACCGCGCUGACCCGCGUGCUGUGGGGCCGCGCGCUGCCGCCGUCGCAGCUCGUGCUCGCCGUCCGCCACGGCUGGACCUCGGCGUGGAGGCUCCUCAUGCGCCAGCUCGCGCCCUCCGACCCGGCCACGGGCGCCUUCACCCGCACCCCGUCCCGCUUCCCGUCCGUCGCGCCGCCCGCGCCCGGCCCCGGCGCGCGCCUCCACCUCUACGUCGGCCUCCCCUGCCCCUGGGCGCACCGCGCGCUCCUCGUCCGGGCCCUCCUCGGCCUGGGGCCCCGCCUCCCCGUCUCCGUCGCCGUCCCGGGCGACGACGGCGCGUGGUCCUUCACGCCAGAGAGCCCCGACGCGCUCUACGGCUCCCGCAGGCUCCGGGACGUGUACGCCGCCCGGCGCGGCGGGUUCGAGGGCCGGGCGUCCGUGCCCAUGCUCUGGGACGCCGGCCGCCGCGAGGUGGUCUGCAACGAGAGCAUCGAGAUCGCCAAGUUCCUCUGCACGCUCGCCGCCUCCGGCGCCGGCGCCGGAGGCCUCGACCUCUGGCCGCCGGAGCACCGCCAGGAGAUCGACCGCUGGUACGGCGUCAUCUACCCGAGCGUCAACAACGGCGUGUACCGGUGCGGGUUCGCGCAGAGCCAGGCGGCCUACGACGCGGCGGCGGCCGAGCUGUUCGCCGCGCUGGACAUGCUCGAGGGCCACCUCUCCGGGUCCCGGUACCUGUGCGCCGGCGCCGGCGUGACGCUGGCCGACGUCUGCCUCUUCACCACGCUCAUACGGUUCGACCUGGUGUACAACCCGCUGUUCCGGUGCAGCCGGAGGAAGCUGGUGGAGUACCCCAGCCUCCACGCCUACAUGCGGGAGAUCUACCAGCUGCCCGGCGCAGCCGAGACCUGCGACAUGGCCGCCAUCGCCGACGGGUACUUCGGGACGCUCUUCCCGCUCAACCCCGGCGGGAUCCUGCCCGUCGUGCCGGCGAGCUGCAGCCGGGAAGCCCUCAUGAAACCUCAUGGCAGAGAGGCAUUGCCUUCUUCUGCUGCUGCUGCUGAUGGUAGGCAGCUAGGAGCAACUGCUAGUGUUGUUGGCUAG
rnacentral:rRNA from 1 species